rnacentral:lncRNA from 1 species
AAACAGGCUUUCAUCAUGUGUAUACUACCAGGGAGGAUUCUGUCUCAUGGAACUGGUCUCAAAUGCAAUGAGGAAGCUAAAAUUAGGAGCUUAGAGAAGAAAUUAAUGAAACAAUCAACAAUUCUGCAGAAAUCAGCCUCUUCUAUGAAGAAGUUUAUGUUUAAAGAGCCAUCUAAAGAGACUAAAAAGAAAAGAAAGAAAAGAAAGAAAAGAAAGAUCGUUGUUAAAAGUGCACACAUUCUGCCCAUCACUACUACACAAAAGCACACUAUUAAAGAGAAAUCUAAAAUUAGUAACUUAGAAAAGCCAAUUGUUAGAGGAACAGGUAUUCUGAAAAAGUCAACCUCUGCUCGGAAGAAACGUGUGCUCAAAGGGAAGUCUAAAUCUGCAACAUUACCCAAGAAAUGUGAUAACUUUCCAUUUGAUCUGGUUCGUUCAUCAUCUGACUCCAGCAAACAAGAGGUUGAAGAGCAACCUAAGCCUGGAAAUGUAGACAAGAAAGUUUCUGAUGAUUCUUAUAGUCCGGACAUUUCAACAUCUCCCACAAAGAAGCAUACACUAAAAGGUCAGCCUAAGUCUGAAAACUCUGACGAAAAAGGUAUCAAACGUCCAAAUAAUUUGCACAUGUCUGCCUCUGUUGCAAGGAAGCGUCUCCUUAAAGCAUUAAGUACUAUUCCAUGA